UCUAUGGCAAAUACCACCCUGAAUGCACCGGAUCUCAUCCGAUCUUGGAAGCUAAGUAGGGUCGAGCUGGUUAGUACUUGGAUGGGAGUCCUGUCCUGGAUUUAUCUUUGUUGUCUUUCUC
rfam:Canis lupus familiaris chromosome 23, whole genome shotgun sequence.